rnacentral:rRNA from 1 species
UACAGAGGUCCCAAGCGUUGUUCGGAUUCAUUGGGCGUAAAGGGUGUGUAGGUGGCGCCGUAAGUCGGGUGUGAAAUCGUCGGGGCUUAACUCCGAAACUGCAUUCGAUAACUGCGGUGCUUGAGGACUGGAGAGGAGACUGGAAUUCAUGGUGUAGCAGUGAAAUGCGUAGAGAUCAAUGAGGAAGACCAGUGGCGAAGGCGGGUCUCCUGGACAAGUUCCGUGACACUGGAGACACGAAGGCCAGGGGAGCAAACGGG